rnacentral:lncRNA from 1 species
CUGGAGAAGAACAUUCAGGGUUGAGGAGAGACCAUCUCAGAAGCCUAGAGAGGACCCAAGAAUGAGGCUCUCUACCCUGAGUUCUGCAAUCAGUGGCUGGCAAAGUGGCAAGUAAGCUGGUAACUGGCAAGAAUGCAAACACUGGACUGAUUAAUGUGCAUAUAUUUGGAAGGCAUCUUCUUGGAACUGUGGUUUCCAGUGAUGUGUGCAUGCCCAGUGGUAUGGCGGAGGACUGUGGAACAGGUUCCUUAAAAUUUCUGCUGCAAGGAUUAUUUAUGUGA